AACUAAUGUGUUCUUUUGUUUUUCAAGGUUGGAAUCCACACUGAAGCAUGGUUUAUCGCUGGUGUCUUUCUGCUGUUGACAAUCCCUGUGUCCCUCUGGGGGAUUGUGCAGCACUUAGUGCAUUACACGCAACCAGAACUUCAGAAGCCCAUUAUAAGGAUUCUUUGGAUGGUCCCAAUAUACAGUUUGGAUAGCUGGUUGGCUUUGAAAUAUCCCAAAAUCGCCAUCUACGUGGACACCUGGAGGGAGUGCUACGAAGCUUACGUUAUUUACAACUUCAUGAUAUUCCUUAACAACUACCUGACAAUCCGGUUCCCCAACUUGGUGCUCCACCUGGAAGCUAAAGAUCAGCAACAGCAUUUCCCCCCUCUGUGCUGCUGUCCACCCUGGGCUAUGGGAGAGUAAGUAUGUUUGUCUUUAAUGGGCCUCCGCGUGGGCUUUCAGUAUCAGUCAGCUGUUUUUAUUAUUUGUUGUUUUGUUUUCCAUUUAUGUUGGAAGUGAACACUCCAGUAGAAAAGUCCAUCAGUGUACUGUAGGAGAGAACCUUAGAAAACAUUUAGUCAGCAUCCUUUUCACAGCUUUUCACACGGAGCAAGGAGCCUCCGUGAUCUUGUCUGUGAUCACACAGCUAAUUGUCUCACUGCUGGGACAAAAUGACUGACAAGAGCAACUAAGGAACAGAGUUUGUGGGGCCAGUCCAUUGUGGUGGGAAGGCGUGCGGCCAGUGCACCUGCUGUCAGGAGGCCGAG